rnacentral:rRNA from 1 species
AGGGAAUAUUGCAAAAUGGGCGAAAGCCCGAUGCAGCAACGCCGCGUGGGCGAUGAAGGCCUUCGGGUCGUAAAGCCCUUUUUGAGGGGAUGAGGAAGGACAGUACCCUCAGAAUAAGCCUCGGCUAACUACGUGCCAGCAGCCGCGGUAAAACGUAGGAGGCGAGCGUUAUCCGGAUUUACUGGGCGUAAAGCGCGUGCAGGCGGAUUGGAGAGUUGGAUGUGAAAGCUCCCGGCUUAACUGGGAGAGGUCGUUCAAUACUUCCAGUCUUGGGUGCAGUAGAGGGAAGUGGAAUUCCGGGUGUAGUGGUGAAAUGCGUAGAUAUCCGGAGGAACACCUGUGGCGAAAGCGGCUUCCUGGACUGUAACUGACGCUCAGACGCGAAAGCUAGGGUA